rnacentral:rRNA from 1 species
CUGCGAGUGAAGAGGGAAGAGCUCAUCAUUGGAAUCUGGCAGUGUUGCACUGUCCGAGUUGUAGAUGAGGAGUAGUCCGUCUGGACUGCAUGGCGUCCAAGUACAAUAGGCCGUCAGUGGGACAUCAUAGAGGGUGACAAUCCCGUCCUUGACGCCAAUGUGCAAGUCUAUUACGAUGGCUAUCUCAGAGAGUCGAGCAGUUUGGGAUUUGCUGCUUAAACAUGGGAGGUAGAUUCCUUCUAAAGCUAAAUACAGGCGAGAGACCGAUAGAGAACAAGUACCGCAAGGGAAAGAUGAAAUAGCACUCUGUGAAGGGAGUCAAAAGGCGUGAAAUUGUUGCGAGAGAAGCGAUUCAAGUCAGCGUAGCUAGGCCCAUCAAGCGUCUUCGCUUUGGACUAGCUUUGCCAGCGGUCUUGUCCCUUGAAGAGACUUGACUUGUAAUAUGUCCAGCCUGGCGUGCACAGGCAGCCCCUUCUGGGGGCCAGUGGCAUGGCUGGUGGAAUGGCUUGCAAUCGACCCGUCUUGAAACACGGACCAAGGAGUCUAACAUGUAUGCGAGUAUAAGGGUGGCAAACCCGUAUGCGCAAUGAAAGUGAUUUUCGGUGAUUGAGAAUGGCCUGAUGACCAGACAAGCAAUAUAUGUCCCUCGUACGGCCAUUGCCCAAGUUCCGUGGUAGAUCCCACGAACAUGGAGUUGGAGCAUACAUGCUAGGACCCGAAAGAUGGUGAACUAUGCCUGGACAAAGCGAAGCCAAAGGAAACUCUGGUGGAGGCUUGUAGCGAUUCUGACGUGCAAAUCGAUCGUCUGAUCUGGGUAUAGGGGCGAAAGACUAAUCGAACC